rnacentral:ncRNA from 1 species
UAAUCGGUUCUCCUUGGGGGAGAUGAAAAGGGAAUCAGGUGAGAGACCUGAACAGAAUCCCGCCGGAAAGUGCCUGUCCGUGGCCUUUCCCGCUGCUGUAAGUCGUCCUUUAUGAGGCGCAAACACAUAUGUCACUGAGAUUUUCGGGAAGACGUUUGUUGCCAGACGAUAAGUCAGAAGACCUGCCGAUGAAA